AGGCUUACGGUAUUAUUACUCCUGCCUGGAGUAAUAUGUAUUGUAAUUUGGGAUUCCUGUGGGACAACGUAUCUUUGAAACAACAAGAAUUAACUCCAUGAUAAAGAAUUUCAGAUUUCUUCCACCGGUUGUGAUUUUGUCCCAGGAGAAUGUGUGCACACGGUGGCCACCAGAGGGAGCCCUUCAGCGACAGAGGAUGAGAGCUGCAGGAUGGUCAGAGGAAACCCAAUCCACAUUGGAACAAGGCUUCUUAAGACAUGGAUGUAAUUUGGUGGUGCGGAAAAAUCAGAGUGUUCAAAACAAUGAUGAUGUAAAAGGCUGAACCAAAAAUAACAACUGAUCUUACAUACACCAUUCCUCUGCUGCAUUGGUAUAUCACAGCUGUGAUCUCCACAAGAGGAUAGGGUUCAGGAGGAGGACUUGAAAAAAGAUCGUCUCAGGGUUGUGAAAGAAGAUACAAUCAGCAAGCCUCUGAGAAAUCACAGCUGAUGACUAAGUCCACAGUCUGCUCAUAAAAUGUAGAGUUAUAGCUCUUGCUCUCACCACUGUCUCUGAUGAGUCUGAAGAAUUGUGAAUCACUAAAAGUCUCUACUUCUUUAAAUGUCUAGAAAGACUGUUCAAAUCACCUGGAAAGCUUGCACUUUUUUUUUUUAAUCUAGAAGACAAUAAAAAGUUGCAACAUCCUCUCUCAGAUCAGACCCAUCUGUUCCUUUACUCAUUCAUUCAACUCUUAUAUAUUAAUUCACUGACUUUUAGGUACCGGGAAUAAUUUCUGAGAG
rnacentral:lncRNA from 10 species